UUUCAAGUUAGGAAGGGAAUUAGGGUUACAUGUUAUGACCAUUGGAGUUCACGUUCCUCUUCUCCUCAAACUCAUUUUCAAACAUGACGGCGCCGAUAAUGCAUCUCCGGCGGGAAUUUCUCCAUUUCUCCGUCCUCGAUUCCGCCUUGUUAAUCUCCAUCCGUCUCCUCCGAUUCAUCAUCUCUGUGUUCUCGCGUGGUUCUCGAUCUCUCUCUGCUCACUUCUUUUUCAAGUUUUAUGUCAUCAUUGAAGAAGAUGAUUGAUGUGAUGUUGCCACUGGUUGUUGAUUUUGACGCAGGGAGGUCGCGACACUGUGAAUCGUCGCAUUCUGAUGUUUGAACGCUGCUUCGGUGAUGCCGUUUCCGAUUGAUGCAAAAUUGGUAGUUGAAGAUGUUGAACGUAGUGGAGAUCGAUGUCGCGUCAAAGUUUCUUGAAGAUGAGGUUCUGAGAUUGACAAGAGUUUCGAUUGUCGAAGAAUCUGGUGAAGGAAAUCUGAUGAUUGAAGGUGAUGUUGGAGAUCGGAGAAGAGGUAGUCGGAGAUGUUGCGAUUUCAUUUUCAGAUCGAAGCUUGCGAAGUUGUGGCGAUGAUGAUGAUGUCAACGCGUGGAUGAAGAUUGUUGCAGAGAUAUUGAAUCGAGAGAGAAAGAUGAAGAUUGAUUUUGAUUAGUUAUGGCGGUGAUCGAAUUGAAGAUGAAUAUGCGAUGAAGGUGAUGAGAAAGAAGAUAUGAGAAAAGUUUGUUACAUUUCGGUUAGAGAAUGAAGAUGAUGAAGAUGAUAGAAAGAUAUGAAGAGCGUGAUUGUGGUGGUGAUGAAAUGGAAGCGUGAAGAUGAAGGAUUGUUGAAGACGAUGAAGAAAACCUCGCGAGUGCAAAAGUUUGUUACAAGGUGCAAGGUUCGGUUUAUUGGAGCAUGUGUACGAACCGCUUCUUUUGGCUCUGAUAGCAGUAGAAGUUCUGGAAGUCUUGGAAGUUCUUUGAUCCUUGCAAGUAGCCAUUUUCUUUUCUUUUUUUGGAAUAAACUGAUGUGUCUUUUGUAAUUUGGUGGCCAUUUCUAUCUUGUAAGAAGUAUUGAAUGGAUUUUGGUAUGGAUAUGAUAUGGAUUUAAACAUGGAGAAAUUAGCUUUUUGUA